UACGUAGGGGGCCAGCGUUGUCCGGAUUCAUUGGGCGUAAAGCGCGUGUAGGCGGCCAGGUAGGUCCGAUGUGAAAUCUGGAGGCUCAACCUCCAGCGGUCAUUGGAAACCAUCUGGCUAGAGUCCGGAAGAGGAGAGUGGAAUUCCUGGUGUAGCGGUGAAAUGCGCAGAUAUCAGGAAGAACACCAAUGGCGAAGGCAGCUCUCGUGGGACGGUACUGACGCUGAGACGCGAAAGCGUGGGGAGCGAACAGG
rnacentral:rRNA from 1 species